UCCCGUUUAGCUCAGCUGGUAGAGCGCGUCACUAGUACGAGCGCCUUGUGUGUCUUGUAAUGACGAGGUCAGUCGUUCAAGUCGGCUAAUGGGAA